rnacentral:lncRNA from 1 species
AUUUCAUAAGAGGAAACCUUUCCAAUGACUGCUGGAUUUGAGCUUGCUAUUUCCCAUAAUAAGGAUGAAGCAAAACAGGAUCUUGCUAAUGGCUGUGGAUAACUGGGCCCCUAUUACUGCAAGCACAGAGGUGCUGCUCAGUGCGUAACGAAGAGCUCAGUGUCCUGAGCAAAGCAUGCCAACGCCAUCCUCCUGCGCUGGGAUAUUUAUUUCUCCCCUUGCGCAAGAAAAACAUGGCAAUCUCAGCCUUCCCUUUGGAAAUCAAUGGCCAACAGAAAAGGACUGAAUUUGACAGGCAAAAAUCUGUCGUCUUGACCCGGUUUCUCCAUCAGGGCAGUAGAGAUGCUGACGGCUGUGAAAAGCUUUGAGAACGGGGAUCAGCAAAUUAAAGGCUUCAUAUAACAGGAGGGGAGGUAUGGUUAGUGCACGCGACCGGGCUGUUAUCAGAGCUUGCUGGGGC